CUGCUCACUUUGGCAGCACCUAUCCAAAAAUUAUAAUGAUACAGAGAUUAGCAUGACACCUGCCCAAGGAUAAUAUGCAAAUUUAUGAAACAUCCCACAUUUUU